GGCUCUGUGGCGCAUUGGACUGACCGCAGCAGCAAGACAUUGAAAGGUUGUGGGUUCGAGUCCCACCAGAGUCG
rnacentral:tRNA from 1 species